rnacentral:rRNA from 1 species
AUGUCUUCUCAGAAUUGUGCCAUUUGUACUCUAAAUGCUGAUGAGACUGUUUUCGGACUAUCUGUUUGCUUAUGUUUGUUGGGCAUUUCGGCAUCCCUUGGCCUACACAAGUUUAGGGGUAUCUCAGUCUUGGAUGAGAUUCUCUUGAACACUAAUGCUCUUCCCAGAAAUUUUGGUCUAACAAUAAUCAUUAUGGGAUGCUGCAUAUUUGGAUGCAAAGGAAUGGAAGGAUUUUUUCAGCAGAUCCAACCCUCAGUGGAGUGUUGGAGACUUCUACUGAAAAAAGACCUCAAUCUGCUCACUCACAAGAUCAAGGCUAGAUAUGUAGCAAGUUUCAAGGCCUGGAUUGCAGCUCACCUCAAUUGA